UACGGAGGGUGCAAACGUUGCUCGGAAUCAUUGGGCGUAAAGCGAGCGUAGGCGGUCUCGUAAGUCGGAUGUGAAAGCCCUCGGCUCAACCGAGGAAGUGCACCCGAAACUGUGAGACUUGAGUGUCGGAGAGGGUGACGGAAUUCCCGGUGUAGAGGUGAAAUUCGUAGAUAUCGGGAGGAACAUCAGUGGCGAAGGCGGUCACCUGGACGAUAACUGACGCUGAGGCUCGAAAGCGUGGGGAGCAAACAGG
rnacentral:rRNA from 1 species